rnacentral:rRNA from 1 species
UACGUAGGCAGCAAGCGUUGUUCGGAGUUACUGGGCGUAAAGAGUGCGUAGGCGGUCCUGUAAGUUUGGUGUGAAAUCUCCCGGCUCAACUGGGAGGGUGCGCCGAAGACUGCAGGGCUUGAGUAUGGGAGAGGUAAGCGGAAUUCCUGGUGUAGCGGUGAAAUGCGUAGAUAUCAGGAGGAACACCUGUGGUGUAGACAGCUUACUGGACCAUCACUGACGCUGAGACACGAAAGCGUGGGUAGCAAACAGG